AGGGGAUGGAGCCGAGUGCCACA
rnacentral:piRNA from 1 species